UCACCAGGUCCUCACGGUCCCUUGGCCCCACGGGUCUGUCUGGUGCUAUUGGUUUAAAGGGCUCAAAAGGAAACCAGGGUCCAAUUGGUCCCAGAGGAGACACUGGGCCUGCAGGACCUCCAGGACCACCAGGAUUGCCAGCAGCUGGGAUUUCCCCUCUGCCAGAG